ensembl:lncRNA
UAGUUCUGUGUUAUCCAGACAUGAGGGAAAAAUAUCCCUUUGAGGAGGAUGUUGUAAUCACCAGAACAAUCUCACUAUCACGGACAGAAAGAGUGGAUACACACUAUAUGCCAAACUGUGAUCUUACCUUUGUGACCACAGGAAGGACAUGAGGAAGUGAGAUAAAAGCUAAUUUUCUUCUUCAUAGUGGAAGCUGAAAAAAAAAAAAAAAAAAAAAAAAAAAAAAAAAAAGCUGAAAAAAAAAAAAAAAAAAAAAAAAAAAAAAAAAAAAAAAAAAAAAAAAAAAAAAAAAAAAACCACCUGUCUAACUUGGUUCAUAGUCCUACGAGGAAAGACUCCAGCUGGCCCAUCGAUCCAUUGGAGACUAUAAGAACUUUAUGAGAGAGUUUCUUUGGAAAAGAAUAAUUUCACUGGAGAAAGUUUUACUUCCUGUCACAGUGAUCUAGGACAGCUUCUCUGGUCUUUUCUUCUUAUAGUAUGGAAGAUAAAUGGAAAUAAAUAGUUGAUGCCCUUUGGAUGAAAAUAUUCUUUUCAGAGUUUUUAUCUGUGAGGGAUUUGCAACACCUUUGCUGAAGAUCUAUAGGCUGAGGCUGUGUCUUUUGUUUUGUUUUUGUUUUUGUUUGUUUUGGGUGGGGGUGUGUUGUUUAUUUUUCAAUUGGUUUGUUGGUCUUGCUUGUGUUUCUUUUGUGUGUGUAUGUUUAUUUAUUUGUUUAUUUAAUUAUUUAUUUUAUCUUUUUUCUCCUAAGAAUAGCCCUGAACAUCUGUGCUAUAUUGUUCUAAUUUUGGCUGGAAUUGAGUUAACUUUCUUCCUAAGAUAUGAUGUUGUGUUUUGGAUUUGAUAACACACCAAUGUUUUAGUUGCUAUGGAGCAGUGCUUACAUUAAGUAAAGGACUAUGACUGAAGCCUGCCUUGUCUUGGUGUUAUUAAACAUGACAGCAACAUACAGUCACAUAAUUUAUUUAGCUUGUUCAAACUGGUAUAGAAACAACAUUUUUAAAAUUACUAGAAAAUUAUUUAUAC